rnacentral:rRNA from 1 species
UACGUAGGGGGCAAGCGUUGUCCGGAAUCAUUGGGCGUAAAGCGCGUGUAGGCGGCCAGAUAAGUCCGCUGUGAAAUCUCGAGGCUCAACUUCGAGCUGUCGGUGGAAACUGUCUGGCUAGAGUCCGGAAGAGGAGAAUGGAAUUCCUGGUGUAGCGGUGAAAUGCGCAGAUAUCAGGAGGAACACCGGUGGCGAAGGCGGAUCUCUGGGCCUUACCUGACGCUGAGGCGCGAAAGCUAGGGGAGCGAACAGG